AGCGAACGCUGGCGGCAGGCCUAACACAUGCAAGUCGAACGGAUCCUUCGGGAUUAGUGGCGGACGGGUGAGUAACACGUGGGAACGUGCCCUUUGGUUCGGAACAACUCAGGGAAACUUGAGCUAAUACCGGAUGUGCCCUUCGGGGGAAAGAUUUAUCGCCAUUGGAGCGGCCCGCGUCUGAUUAGCUAGUUGGUGAGGUAACGGCCCACCAAGGCGACGAUCAGUAGCUGGUCCGAGAGGAUGAUCAGCCACACUGGGACUGAGACACGGCCCAGACUCCUACGGGAGGCAGCAGUGGGGAAUCUUGCGCAAUGGGCGAAAGCCUGACGCAGCCAUGCCGCGUGAAUGAUGAAGGUCUUAGGAUUGUAAAAUUCUUUCAGCGGGGACGAUAAUGACGGUACCCGCAGAAGAAGCUCCGGCUAACUUCGU
rnacentral:rRNA from 1 species